GGAUUUUAUGAGAUUUUUUUUUUCGACUGUCUGAAACUGUCAAGGAACAACUAUGAAAUUCUUGGAGUCGCACAGGCCAAAAUGUGCAUAUGAUAAAUCAGUGAGUGUUGCAACUGUGAAAUGACUUCUGAACAUACUGCCUCAUCUGUCAUUGUCAAGGAUUAAAUAUGAACCAAAUUUGCAAGGGGUUUCAGUCACCCCAUCAGCCACCGUCCUGGAGCAGAUGAUCUUCAUCUGACGAAUCGUCAGAAGGUCAACAGAAGCCUAAUGCUGCGUCAGAGUGCCUACAUCAUUCUGAUGAACCGCCAGAGGGUCGUAGAUGCCGAACACUACCUUACUAUAUCUGUGUCAUUCACCCCACUCUGGUCCUCACUUAGGCGUGCUAUCAUCUCGCAUCAUCACAAGAAGGAUGAGGACAGUCCAGUAUGGUAUUUUGAGAGAGACCACAGCCACAUAACUUAUAUUACAGUAUAUUGUUGCAAUUGUUCUGUUUUAUUAUUAGUUAUUAUUGUUGAUCUCUUACUGUGCCUACUUUACAAAUUGUUUUAUCAUAGGUAUGUAUGUAUGAGAAAAAGCAUACAAUAUUUAGGGUUCGAUACUAUCCAUGGUUUCAGGCAUUUACUGGGAGUCUUGAAACCUCUCCUUUGCAGAUAAAGGCAGGACUAUGAUAUAGCUGAAGUUAAGCUAUUUUUUAGUGAAAUUAAAAAUUUUCUCAUUUGACACUUCUGGAUUGCAGUUGACAACUAACCUGAAAAUACAAAUGUCAUAACCAGGUCCUCCUGUGCACAAUGAGUAGGCAUCUUUGAGUUGUGUAGUGUGAGUCCAUGUAAGAUUCAUCACGUGACUUCAAAAAUGAAACUGUUCCGUAUUUUCUUCAUUGAGAUUCAGCAACACUAUCAAGAGACUGAGCAUAUUACGUUAAUCAUACUGGUAUUAAAAUAAAAGCUUAAUAAAAAAAAACAACGGCCAAAUAAAAAAGAG